UGAUGUCAUGAUGAUUGGCUAAAUGUUCAACUGCUCUGAAUUGUGAAUGACUUCUGCCUUUCUGAACAUAC
ensembl:snoRNA SNORD6 small nucleolar RNA Z40